rnacentral:rRNA from 1 species
UAGGGAAUUUUGCGCAAUGGACGAAAGUCUGACGCAGCAGCGCCGCGUGAGGGAUGAAGGUCUUCGGAUUGUAAACCUCUGUUGGAUGGGAAAAAAGGUAGCAAUAUUUGAUGGUACCAUUCGAGUAAGCACCGGCUAACUACGUG